GGCUUAGUGGUCUAGUGGUAUGAUACGCCGUUCGGAGAAAUCCCCAUCUGCAAAGGAUGGAAAAAUACUUCCCCAAGGGGGUCGUUAUACUCGGCGUGGUCAGGGGUGAUUCCCCUCUGAGCCC
rnacentral:tRNA from 1 species